AUUCAAGGAGACCUAUUGAGAAUAGAUUUCUUGUAGGCUUUGAGCAACAGGAGGAUUAGCACUGCUAUUCCGAUUCAGAGAUAAGGUUAAACGACAGGCUUUGCCUAGACAGGUUGAUUGGUCGGUGCUGACGGGGCAGAGCUGAGGCUAGGGUUCAACUCCGUAUUUUGUCUUCCGCUGUUGCACUAGCUCUUAUUUGUCUUAUGUUUCUCUAACUUAAGACCUUUAUGUUAAAUUCUGAAUUAUGUUUCUUAUCGAGCGUAGACUCUCAACUUCUAGCUCUAUGUUAUUUAACGUUGGUUAUCAGAAGCAUGAAACCAAACUUGUGAUCCUGAAGUUUAGAAUGUUGUUGAUUGAUUAGUAUCACUUGAUUUC